UUGAGAAAGAAACACUGUAUUUUUGUAUACUUUUACCCCAUAGUACCCUAUAGUAUAGGGUAAAAGCACAAAGAAAGACCAGAUUUCAUGGUCUAUGAUACAUUUUCCACCAAUGUGAAUUUUGGUCCUCUUCUCCCCACCUGGGCUCAGUAGGAGCCUCUUGUAGGUAGAGUAAUCAGAGUAUCUGGGAAGAUAUCCAUGCAGUGCAGUUAAGCGGGAUCGCAUGGUAAAUAGUGCCAUAAUGGUGACUAAUUGAAUCACAGGGGCAACAUGACCACAGCCAAGCCAAAAAGACUCAAGUUUUCCGAGGAGGAGAAGUUCCUCAUCCUUGAGGAAUUCAGCCUACGGAAGGACAUCCUGAUCCCCAAGAGCGGGCGCUAUAAGAACACAAUGGAUCGUCAACGAGCAUGGGAAGAGAUCACAGCUGCCGUCAACUCCCUCAGCCCACUCGUGCAGCGCACACCUGAUGAGAUCCGCAAGAAAUGGCAUAACAUGGUCGUUGAUGCCCGCAAGGAGCUGACCACAGUGAAACACCCCUUGCUGAGGCAGCGGCCUCAGGAGAGGCUCUUCCACAACAUCUUUGCUCUCUUCAAUAAGACAGGGCCAGAGUUGGCAGAGCCAUUGCUCCCGGGCCCUGCUCUCAGAACAAAGCCAUCUAGCAGCCUGGCUGGAACCACAGCACCAAACUGCACUGUGGAGAGGAUCCGUGAAACUCCUUCGGAUUUAUUCUUUCACGGCCAGAAUGACGGACUUCAGCGGAGCCAGGGCAACGAGCUGCUCUGCAAAACAGAGGUCCUUUUGGACCCGGACAGAGAAAUGGCAUCAGGGACUGGCACUCCAGGAGAGAGCCUCCUCCAUGCACCAAGGGAUCCACAGCCCAGUGAGGAAUCUGACUGCAAAGAGGAUUUGUGCUUGGGUGGAUCUCAAGAGUGUAUGGAAAAGAGACUGCUGGCCCCCAGCAAGGAUCCAACACUGAUCUGUGCUCCUGUAGCUGAGACACACCUUGUGCCAAUUCACAGAUCCAUCUCACCGCUGAGCUAUGGACCUGAAGGACCUGCCCCUGCCAGGACUCCAGUGCCUCUGAACUGCUCCCCAGACUUUGCAUUGGCCUAUAAGACUAAGUGCCCUUUGAGCCCUGUAUUCGAAUGGCCUUGCCUAGGCGUCAUCUCAAGUCCAGUCACACACAGCAGCAGGACUGACAGCCCCAGCCCCGAAGGCAUCCACACAGCACUGGAUGAUAAUGCAAGCACAUCUGUGACGGACGAUUCGCUGCCCAGCCAGAAGGGCUGUGUUGGGCCAACCAAAGAGCUUUGGGAGACGCACAGCCGGCUGCACACUGAUAUCCUGGAGCUGCAGAAAGAGACCUUGCAACUGCAGAAGGAAAAGAUCCUGCUGGAGAAAGAGAAACUUCUACUGGAAAUUGUCAAACUGCGGCGAGAACUGGAUACAUGACCAUCCACCGGGGAAUAACCUGCACUGCCGCCGUCGGUGGGGCUCAGAGCCCAGUUCACACCUGCUUGGCUCCACGUACCCUGUUCCCUGGGACUGCAUGUACUUGAGUGAAAAAAACAUUGCUUGCUCCUCAGAAUGCGCAGGAGAGAACUAAGCCGAACAGCACAGCCGUGAAUGGGAGAGGCUCUUUUUCCUGUGCUGGACCAGAGAAUUCAUUUCCCUGAUGCUCUUUGAGUGAAAUCUGCACCCAAGAUAUCGGGGGUAGGGAAGACCUGUUGUGACUUUGGUGGCAUAGUACAAAACUUGCACAGGUUUGGGAGAAUGAAGGGGCCUGUGUAGGGCCCCUCCCUUAGCCAGGUGCAGAGCAGUCCAGAGUCCAGGGAAGAGAGGCUGUACCUGCACAUGGAACAGCAGCAAAGCAUGUAAUUCCACUAUGUAGGCUUCCCUUGCUGUAUUGCAUGUUGCAGAGAAGACCAAACAUAUAGCAGCACCAUUGCUUCCUUCCUCUCUCCCUUUCAGCCACUAAGCCACGAGCAGGAAUUUAAACCAGUAUUUUCUUUUUUUCCAUGUUGACAUAAACUUACUAAGUAGCGAAGCAUCAGAGCAACCACUCCCUGUCCAGGUGUAUGACUCACGAAGCUGCCCAACAUUGCACGUUUGCUUAUGGGAAGAGAGAGCUAUGUCCGCAGCAGAACAUGGAGUCCAGGAUUAAGCACUGAACGCAGUCUUCCACACUGGGCAGGAGGGAUUCUCAAGCCCCCUGCACUCUGUUCCCCUUGCAGCGUGUAAAAGGAAGCCCCUGUGGAUUCGAGUGCCCUAGGAUCUCUUGCCUUGAGCUGUGGCAAUGCUGCCAAUAAAUCCACUGCACAGCUGAACUGCUGCUGAAGAGGCUGUUUGCUCCCCUUCCUGGGGAGAAUGCCCAGCCUUAUAAAGAGACAAGCGGGUGAGGUAAUAUCUUCUAUUGGACCCAGAGAAGAGCUCUGUGUAUUCUUGAAAGCUUGUAUCUCACCAACACAGUUGGUCCAAUAAAAGAUAUUACCUCAUCCACCUUAUCCCUCUGCCAUCCUGGGACCAGCUCAGCGACAACAUUACUGCAUAGCCCUGGAAAGAGCAUUGCUGAAGAAUUUUGCUCCAACCACAAGAGACUAGUGUAGUGGAUGCAAAGGCUGCUUGUUCUCCUUCCAAUCCCCCCUCCCACUCGUAUGCAGCAAUGAUUAGGGCCCUUUGUUUUUGGUUUUCACUUUAUUUAAUUUUUUCCCUGGAAUAUAUGUUUAUUAAAACAAUAAAAACAUGAAAUUUGGCACAAAAAAUUAUUUUCUGGGUAAAUCUUGGAAUUUAUUUUGGUGGAUAGGAUGGGGUAAAAGAUAUUCACUAACAUUUUGAUGACUGGAAUUCAACGUGGUUUGCUGCAAAACUAAAACAGAACUCAAACACAUCACCACCUUAGAGUUUACAAAAACUACACAUCACUAGACCCCAAAUAAAACUUUUCAUUUGCAGAAACAGUUACUAUCAUGGACUUAGAACUAUUCGCCUAUAAAUAUUGGCAUUUAAUAAUUAGGCCACAAACAUCAUCCUUUUUUUCCUGUUUUUUUUUUUUUUUUUUUUUUUACUUUUGAACACAUACUUGUGAUCUGAUGCUUAUUCUGACACAGAUUUUGGUUUUCUUUCCAUUUUGGUGUAUCAAGUCUUUAAACCACUAUUGUCUGCUAGCAGCUUGAAAUGUGUAUGUGGUGGCUGUGAGCUUAAUCAGUAUGUUCAGAGGCCUAUGCACUUCAGAGCUUGUGUGCAUGCUUGUUUAUUGAGUGUAUCUUCUACUAUUACAUAGCCUUACUUCAACAGGGAGCUCUGCAAACACACAAAUUAAUGUAUUAGCAUAAUACAUCUAUAGUUCAUGCAAUGUAUUGUAUUUUCUUAAUAAAACAAGUUACUUGUUAUAUAUGUGAAAGAUACAAAAGCAGGAUGGAAAGUCUGAAAAAAACCAAAUACUGUUUUUAAAACCUGGGAUUUUUAUUCUGGUAAAAAUAAAAUCAGUUUAAACUGAAAACUAAGGAGGCUUAAGCAUGGUGUAUCUACAAAGUCUGCUGAGGGUGGCCUGGCUUGUAGGAUUACUUCUACUAACCAUGGCAUUACAGUCACAGGAAUAUGAGCGGAGGAGGCAAAGCAGAUACUCACGCUUACCAAAUGCCUUUUUCCCCCAAUGUACUCAAAGCACAUAGGGAUUCUCAUUUACAGAUGGGGCACUGAAGUGAAGUGUCUUAUCAAAGAUCGGCUAGGGAGUGAGUGGAAAAAGCCAGGGACAGAUCCAACUUUCUGGAUGCCUGGUACCCAUGACUUGUCCAUAGGCUCUGCUGCCUCUUAGGCAAGUCCCCAGCACCCACUCUCACGUUGGGAGGAUACAAACACUGAGGUCACCAGACUCAAUGCAGCAAUUUGCACCAUCAUGCAGCCAGUCUGGACUUCCAAUAGCUUUGGUCAGGGCCAGCUUUAACUAGUCCCUACUAAGUGGCUCCCAAUGGAAGGGAAAGAUGGAGGACAGCCAACUGAGUUCCACUGCUCCAUGCACAGACUACUUCACAAGCCCCUCUACCUUGGCAAUAAAGCAGCUCCUCAGAGCCCAUGUCACCUUCUCAGACAAAGUCACCCUCCAACCCUUCCCUGGCAUCCAACGACUGUGUUUUGUACUUUUAAAAAGAGUCACAAAUCAACAGUUCCCAGACACUUGGCAGUCUCGAUUCCUUUUGCACUGCCAGAGUGACAUUAAAAUGCCAACCCAGCAUGAGGCUGAGAGCGCUGUGACCUGACCAAAUUGGCAAAAGGAACAGUCUUUUUGAGGCUUGCUGGACUUUAGCAUUUUGCCAGGUUCUGACUGGAUUUUCUGCCUUUUCAACCAGCCUCUGGCACAUUAGAACUUCUCACUUCAAAGUCUAUUACUGAGCAGAGACCGAUGUCUUUCACUAUGAGGAGAAAAAAAAAAAAAGUAUGUGGGCCAGAUUCUGAUCUCACUUACGCCAGUGUAAAUCAGGCGAGACUCCACUUGGAGUCAAUGCAAUUACUCUGGAUUUACACUGGUGUUAGAGAGUAGAACUUAUCCCUUUGUCUGCAAUUCUCCAGAAGGUAGCAGAAACCCCUUUACUGAGCUGGGAGCUUCACGAGAAUUUCCUGAAUGCACCCAGCACCUCUUGGUAUCAAAUCUGUGCUAUUAGGGUGGGACUCUAGGCAGCCCGAUGGGCUCACUCAAGGCCAUGCAUCUGCUGUGCCCCGCACUGGGCAAACUAGGGGCUGGUGUUAGCAUCUGGACACUAGGUAGAUCUGCCACUUGGCUUUCUUUCAAAUCAGAGCCCUCAGGUAAAGGGGUGAGGGAAUGAGGAAGUGUGAAAAUUACUGAUUUAGUUCCUUUCAAGUUUCCGUAACCCCCUUAAAGAGAAGGAAGAUUCACCUAGACACAGUGCUUGCCCUUGUACCAAUAUUUCACUACAUGCCAGCCCUCUGCAUCCAACAGAUCACAGCAUGACAAAGCAAAAUACAAGUAUUAUAGGCAGCUGCCAAUUUCCAUUUAAGGAGGAUUUGAGAGGGCAAAGUGAAGCAGAAGAAAGCAGCUCAGCUAACUGUAGGCCUAACAGGCUGGGGGAGAGGGUGGAGGAGAUUUCUCAGUGGGUGAAAAGCUGCUUCUCCCCUCAGGCAGCAGGCUGCAGAGCUUCAUCCGCCCCCGUUUCAGCCAGAUCACUACUCUCGGCUCCACCCAUGUGGGGAAACAGACAGCGAAAUGCUGCACCUGAAGUCACCACCCCCCUGCACAAGGCAGUCUCUCCACAGAUGCUGCCAGAGCAUGACCCCUUCUCCCCUGCAUAGGCCCAGCCCACAGUCUAAUACUGGGAGAGCAUCCCCAGCUCCAGCCCCUGCACAAACUGGUGGCCAGUGCCUCUCAGCCGGGAAUCCUUGCGACCAGAUUCUUAGUUGCUGCUAAGCUUGGUAAUCCAGUGACACUGGUGCCCACUCUUGAGACCUAGGGAGCCAAAGGCCUGUGGACUGUUGGAACCCCUUGGUGGCCACAGCUUGUCCCCUUGUAGCAGUGCUCUCUGCAUUACUGGGCCAUGGCCGGGGCCAAGAGGGGCCUUGGGUAAGUCAUAUCUCUGUGCACCCACCUGCAGGACAAGGACACCUCCCCCCACAGGGGCCACUAUCUCCUGGAAAUGGAGAGUGCUAAGCAGGCCCUGAGUCCCACCCUGACCGCCAGGAAUGGGCCUUGACAAGCAGUCCAUCCAGGUCUGUGUCACGCUGUUGUGCUACAAAUAAUGGGCUUCAGAGGCCUGACAGACAAAUGGUGAAGGGCACAGGGGAGCAUGCUGGGACCAGGCUACCACCCAGUCUCCCUCAGCUACCUUCCCCCCCAUCCCCAGAGGCAGAGAUAGGCCCCGGAGACCCUCAGAGCCUUGCAUCCCUCUUGCUAACCCUGUCCCACGAGACACUGCCCCCUCACCUCAUUGUUUACAGAGGACUGAUGAGAACCACCACAGGCUGAGCUGCCAAGCUCCCCUCCCCCAGUUCCAAAGCAGCAGCUGCUGACUUUGCACUUCAGGAGCCAAGCAGCAUGGGAAACCUCUGAAAAACAAACCAAGCUCCCCAGGGAAGCCAGCACCUGAGGUCAAAGCAGCUGAACCCACAGCAGGCAGAACCACUAUGGAUUAUGUGUGGCUACAGGCCUGGAAUCUACCCACGCCCAAAACUUCCUACAGUCCCUUUAAGCCCUGCCCUCCAAACUGUGCCAGUCAUGACUGUAGCUCAGGACAGCUGCCAAGUCUCUCUGCCCUGCCCCAUGUGAGCUGGGAAUGUUUAUCUGACAAACCAUGCUGUGGAUCACCCCACUGUGCACAGAGCUUGGACGUGUCAGCUUCUGCUGCAGACAGCCUGUUUGCCCAUCCUACCAUGCAUGUCUGUCUGAAAGAAGCAGUCAACAGUUGUAUAUGCACGUGUGUGUCAAUGCUAGCCAGCACAAAUUACUAUUUUGCAUCCCUGGCACUUUAAGAUGAAACAUAAUAAAUAAGAGGGAAUUUCUCUCACACACACACACACACACACACACACACACACACACACACACACACACACACACACACACACACACACACUCUUCAUUUACAUAGUCACAAAGGUCCUCCCACCCCAAUGAGGUAGUUAGGAGUGGAGAAUGGUCAGAUUAGGGCUUCUAGGCCUCACACCUCAAGGGUGGGGCCUUAUGUGAAGUACACAGGGCUCCUGCAUUCUUGGCCAUGAGAAAGUUUUAACAGCAUUCCCAGAGGCACUAGACAUUUCUAAGGCUAGUGAGAUCAUCCAGUUACACUGAACAGGAUACAAAACAAGCCAUAUAAAUAGGGUUGCCAGAUACUUCCACAAA